GGGAGGUAAGAGUCCAGCCUCAGUGGGUGGACCGUGGCCAGUGGUGGCUGUCCAGGCCCGUCCCCAGUUGGUGAGUUUUCCAGUGGCCGGAAGACCGAGCCCUAGAGUAACAGCUGUGGACUCACUGCCCACUCUGUGUUUAUUGGGCUGGAACCCCCUCUCUGUCCUGGAACUUCUGGUUGGAGAGCCCUCUGAGCUCAUGGGGCCUGUGAAUGGUGGGUCUUGGAGUGAUUUCCAGCCCCAGUGAUCAGGUGUCCUGUCAGUGCCCCUCAACUCCCUGCAGUCCCCUACUUCCCAUCAAGCCAACUCCCAAAUUCCAGGAUGUGACAGUUCCCAGGUCUACUGCCUUCCAGGCACUGAGCUCAUGUUGGGGACCCAGAAAUAAAUGAGAUACAUACAACCUCUGUCCUUGAGUUGGUCACAGUCUAGUAGGUCACAGUCUAGUAGAAGUAGAAAUGAAGAGUUAACUGCCAGAUGUCAUGUUACAGGGCACAUUUAAUAAGGGUGAGAACCACACAAAGGUGGGAGUGCCUAACUUAACAAUCAAAAGAAAUGAACCAUUGAUACACAACAACAUAGAUGAAUCUCAAAUCA
rnacentral:lncRNA from 10 species